CGUAGGGUGCGAGCGUUGUCCGGAAUUAUUGGGCGUAAAGAGCUUGUAGGCGGUUAGUCGCGUCGGAAGUGAAAACUCGGGCCUUAAUCCCGAGCUUGCUUCCGAUACGGGCUGACUAGAGGAAGGUGGGGGAGAAUGGAAUUCCUGGUGGAGCGGUGGAAUGCGCAGAUAUCAGGAGGAACACCAGUGGCGAAGGCGGUUCUCUGGACCUUUCCUGACGCUGAGAAGCGAAAGCGUGGGGAGCAAACAGGCUUAGAUACCCUGGUAGUCCCU
rnacentral:rRNA from 1 species